CUACACAUGCAGUCGACGGUAACAGGAAGCAGCUUGCUGCUUCGCUGACGAGUGGCGGACGGGUGAGUAAUGUCUGGGAAACUGCCUGAUGGAGGGGGAUAACUACUGGAAACGGUAGCUAAUACCGCAUAACGUCGCAAGACCAAAGAGGGGGACCUUCGGGCCUCUUGCCAUCGGAUGUGCCCAGAUGGGAUUAGCUUGUUGGUGGGGUAACGGCUCACCUAGGCGACGAUCCCUAGCUGGUCUGAGAGGAUGACCAGCCACACUGGAACUGAGACACGGUCCAGACUCCUACGGGAGGCAGCAGUGGGGAAUAUUGCACAAUGGGCGCAAGCCUGAUGCAGCCAUGCCGCGUGUAUGAAGAAGGCCUUCGGGUUGUAAAGUACUUUCAGCGGGGAGGAAGGGAGUAAAGUUAAUACCUUUGCUCAUUGACGUUACCCGCAGAAGAAGCACCGGCUAACUCCGUGCCAGCAGCCGCGGUAAUACGGAGGGUGCAAGCGUUAAUCGGAAUUACUGGGCGUAAAGCGCACGCAGGCGGUUUGUUAAGUCAGAUGUGAA
rnacentral:rRNA from 1 species